CGCUGGCGGCGCGCAUAACACAUGCAAGUCGAGCGAGGGCUCUUUUCCCGCAAGGGAGAUGGGUUCCUAGCGGCGAACGGGUGAGUAACACGUGGGCAACCUUUCCUAUCACGGGGGAUAACAGCGGGAAACCGCUGCUAAUACCGCAUGUCGUCAUCGGUCGCAUGGCCGGUGAAAAAAGCAGCAAUGCACGAUGGGGUGGGCCCGCGGCCUAUCAGCUAGUCGGUGGGGUAACGGCCUACCGAGGCGAUGACGGGUAGCUGGUCUGAGAGGACGACCAGCCACACGGGGACUGAGACACGGCCCCGACUCCUACGGGAGGCAGCAGUGAGGAAUCUUCCGCAAUGGGCGAAAGCCUGACGGAGCGACGCCGCGUGUGGGAUGAAGUCCUUCGGGAUGUAAACCACUGUUGGAGGGGAAGACAACUGACGGUACCCUCCGAGAAAGCCCCGGCUAACUACGUGCCAGCAGCCGCGGUAAUACGUAGGGGGCUAGCGUUAUCCAGAAUUACUGGGCGUAAAGCGCGUGUAGGCGGCUGGUUAAGUGUGAUGUGAAAUCUUCGGGCUCAACCCGAAAA
rnacentral:rRNA from 1 species